CUUAUCGCUUUAAGAGGGGUUUAUGUCCUAUCAGCUUGUUGGUGGGGUAAUGGCCUACCAAGGCAAUGACGGGUAGUUGGCCUGAGAGGGUUAUCAGCCACACUGGGACUGAGACACUGCCCAGACUCCUACGGGAGGCUGCAGUCGAGAAUCUUUCGCAAUGCCCGAAAGGGUGACGAAGCGACGUCGCGUGGGUGAUGAAGGCCCUUGGGUCGUAAAGCCCUGUCAAGAGUUAUGAAAGCAGCUUGCUGUUUGACAAUGCUCUAAAGGAAGUCACGGCUAACUCUGUGCCAGCAGCCGCGGUAAUACAGAGGUGGUAAGCGUUGUUCGGAAUUAUUGGGCGUAAAGAGCACGUAGGUGGUCAGAUAAGUCAGAUGUAAAAUACCCUUGCUCAACAAGGGACCUGCAUUUGAAACUGUCCGACUAGAGUACAGAAGGGGAGAAUGGAAUUUCUGAUGGAGCGGUGAAAUGUGUAGAUAUCAGAAGGAACGCCGGUGGCGAAAGCGAUUCUCUAGUAUGUAACUGACACUGAGGUGCGAAAGCUAGGGGAGCAAACAGGAUUAGAUACCCUGGUAGUCCUAGCCGUAAACGAUGGGCACUAAGUAGAUGGUCUUUGAUUCUCUACUGGAGCUAACGCAUUAAGUGCCCCGCCUGGGGAGUACGGUCGCAAGACUAAAACUCAAAAGAAUUGACGGGGGCUCGCACAAGCGGUGGAGCAUGUGGCUUAAUUCGAUUCAACGCGAAGAACCUUACCGGGACUUGACACGUUAGAAGUAGGAACCCGAAAGGGUAAGCAACGGUAUCCAGUCCGUAACUAACACAGGUGUUGCAUGGCUGUCGUCAGCUCGUGUCGUGAGACGUUGGGUUAAGUCCUAUAACGAGCGAAACCCUUGUCUUUAGUUGCCAACAGGUUAUGCUGGGAACUCUAAAGAGACCGCCGUCGUUAAGACGGAGGAAGGUGGGGAUGACGUCAAGUCAUCAUGGCCCUUACGUCCCGGGCUGCACACGUGCUACAAUGGUAGGUACAAAAGGAAGCAAGACCGCGAGGUGGAGCCAAACCUGAAAAGCCUAUCCCAGUUCGGAUUGAAGGCUGAAAUUCGCCUUCAUGAAGUUGGAAUCGCUAGUAAUCGCAGAUCAGCCUCGCUGCGGUGAAUAUGUUCCCGAGCCUUGUACACACCGCCCGUCAAGCCACCCAAACAGGGUGUACCCGAAAUCGUUGACUUGACCCUAUGGGAGAGAGGCGCUGAAGGUAUGCUUUGUGAGGAGGACUAAGUCGUAACAAGGUA
rnacentral:rRNA from 1 species